rnacentral:misc_RNA from 1 species
UCCGGUUUGUCACCGGCAGUCUCAUUAGAGUGCUCAACUGAAUGUAGCAACUAAUGACAAGGGUUGCGCUCGUUGCGGGACUUAACCCAACAUCUCACGACACGAGCUGACGACAGCCAUGCAGCACCUGUCUCUCAGUCCCCUUGCGGGGAAAACCGACUUUCAUCGGCGAUCCGAGGAUGUCAAGACCAGGAUAAGGUUCUUCGCGUUGCGUCGAAUUAAACCACAUGCUCCACUGCUUGUGCGGGUCCCCGUCAAUUUCUUUGAGUUUUAAUCUUGCGACCGUACUCCCCAGGCGGGAUGCUUAACGCGUUAGCUUCGUUACUGAAAGGGUUAACACUCCCAACAACAAGCAUCCAUCGUUUACGGCGUGGACUAC